CUGCCCAGCCCCUGGGGCCGUGUCCAGUGGUGGCACUGCCAGCCCUGCAGGGGAAGUGGGAAGGGCCUUUGCAGGUCUGUUUGAUCACAUUUAUAGCAGUGGGAUGGAGCCUGGAAAGUGCAGAGAGCUGAGCCAAGGGAUUGAAAGGGACCAAGCAAGGGAGGUGAAGAAAGAAGGAAGAAGGAACUGAGGCAUCAGCCAAGCAGCAGCAAGUUCCUGUGUAAGCAGUGGGAUGUUCCCUAGAAACUGCAUGGAGCUGAGCCAAGGAAGUUAAAGGGACUGAGCAAGCAAAGUCAAGAAAGAAAGAAGAAGGGAACUGAGGCAGCAGCCAAGCAGCACCAAAUUCCUCCACAACCAAGGAAUAACUCCUGUCA